rnacentral:rRNA from 1 species
UACGGAGGGGGCUAGCGUUGUUCGGAAUUACUGGGCGUAAAGCGCGCGUAGGCGGACCUGCAAGUCGGGGGGUGAAAGCCCGAGGCUCAACCUCGGAACUGCCUUCGAUACUGCGGGUCUCGAGUCCGGGAGAGGUGAGUGGAACUGCGAGUGUAGAGGUGAAAUUCGUAGAUAUUCGCAAGAACAUCAGUGGCGAAGGCGAUCUUCUGGACGGAUACUGACGCUGAGGCGCGAAAGCUAGGGGAGCAAACGGG